rnacentral:rRNA from 1 species
CCUACGGGGGGCAGCAGUGAGGAAUAUUGGUCAAUGGGCGAGAGCCUGAACCAGCCAAGUCGCGUGAAGGAUGACGGCCCUCCGGGUUGUAAACUUCUUUUGUCAGGGAGCAAUUGGGUCCACGCGUGGGCUUAGCGAGAGUACCUGAAGAACAAGCAUCGGCUAACUCCGUGCCAGCAGCCGCGGUAAUACGGAGGAUGCGAGCGUUAUCCGGAUUUAUUGGGUGUACAGGGUGCGUAGGCGCAAUAUCAAGUCAGCGGUAAAAAUUCGGGGCUCAACCCCGUCGUGCCGUUGAAACUGAUGAUCUUGAGUGGGCGAGAAGUAUGCGGAAUGCGUGGUGUAGCGGUGAAAUGCAUAGAUAUCACGCAGAACUCCGAUUGUGAAGGCAGCAUACCGGCGCCCAACUGACGCUGAAGCACGAAAGCGUGGGUAGCGAACAGGAUUAGAUACCCGUGUAGUC